GACGAACGCUGGCGGCGUGCUUAACACAUGCAAGUCGAACGGAAAGGCCCUGCUUUUGUGGGGUGCUCGAGUGGCGAACGGGUGAGUAACACGUGAGUAACCUGCCCUUGACUUUGGGAUAACUUCAGGAAACUGGGGCUAAUACCGGAUAGGAGCUCCUGCUGCAUGGUGGGGGUUGGAAAGUUUCGGCGGUUGGGGAUGGACUCGCGGCUUAUCAGCUUGUUGGUGGGGUAGUGGCUUACCAAGGCUUUGACGGGUAGCCGGCCUGAGAGGGUGACCGGCCCACUGGGCCCUGGGAUCCGGCCCGGACCCCUCCGGGGGGCACGCGGGGGGAUUUUUCCCAAUGGGGGGGAGUCCUGAUCGACCACCGCCGGGUGCGGGAUGCCGCCCUUCGGGUUGGAACCCGCUUUCGCCUGGAACGAAGCGGGAGGGCCGGUAAUGGGAAAAGAAGCCCCGGUUAAUUCCGU
rnacentral:rRNA from 1 species